CAAAUCAUAAAAUUCCUGUCCAUAAUAUCUCUUGUGCCACAUCCUGUCUCCUCCAAGGUCUCAAAGAGGUCAAGAGGUUUCCACACUUACCUGCUGCCGUCGGAGACUUUGAGGGGACUCAGUGCCCGUGACAGGCUCUCUGAAGGUGGAGGCUGGAGCUGACUGGAACACCAGGCACGGUACCAGGAUCAUGGACCAGACACUUUGCAGUUAUAUGUUGUGACAGCUCCAAGAGAAGUGAAGAUAAUAUCUCUUUCUGACUGUCAAUAUUAGCCCCCUUUGACCUUUCGCUGAGAUUGGAAAAUUAUGGCCCUGAGAGAUACCUGUUUG